AGUGAACGCUGGCGGUAGGCCUAACACAUGCAAGUCGAACGGCAGCACAGUAAGAGCUUGCUCUUACGGGUGGCGAGUGGCGGACGGGUGAGGAAUACAUCGGAAUCUACUUUUUCGUGGGGGAUAACGUAGGGAAACUUACGCUAAUACCGCAUACGACCUACGGGUGAAAGCAGGGGAUCUUCGGACCUUGCGCGAUUGAAUGAGCCGAUGUCGGAUUAGCUAGUUGGCGGGGUAAAGGCCCACCAAGGCGACGAUCCGUAGCUGGUCUGAGAGGAUGAUCAGCCACACUGGAACUGAGACACGGUCCAGACUCCUACGGGAGGCAGCAGUGGGGAAUAGUGGACAAUGGGCGCAAGCCUGAUCCAGCCAUACCGCGUGAGUGAAGAAGGCCUUCGGGUUGUAAAGCCCUUUUGUUGGGAAAGAAAAGCAGCAGGUUAAUACCCCGCUGUUCUGACGGUACCCAAAGAAUAAGCACCGGCUAACUUCGUG
rnacentral:rRNA from 1 species